rnacentral:rRNA from 1 species
AAACCGGAGGAAGGUGGGGAUGACGUCAAGUCAUCAUGGCCCUUACGGCCAGGGCUACACACGUGCUACAAUGGUCGGUACAAAGGGUUGCCAAGCCGCGAGGUGGAGCUAAUCCCAUAAAACCGAUCGUAGUCCGGAUCGCAGUCUGCAACUCGACUGCGUGAAGUCGGAAUCGCUAGUAAUCGUGAAUCAGAAUGUCACGGUGAAUACGUUCCCGGGCCUUGUACACACCGCCCGUCACACCAUGGGAGUGGGUUGCUCCAGAAGUAGCUAGUCUAACCUUCGGGGGGACGGUUACCACGGAGUGAUUCAUGACUGGGGUGAAGUCGUAACAAGGUAGCCGU